CAACAGCAUGCGGUGUUUUCAGGUGGUCACCCUUCCAAGUGCUGACCGCGCCCGAUACUGCUUAACUGCGGUGAUCAGACGAGAACGGGAGCUUUCUGUAUGGUAUGGCCGUC
rnacentral:rRNA from 13 species